CCUACGGGAGGCAGCAGUGAGGAAUAUUGGGCAAUGCCCGAAAGGGUGACCCAGCAACGCCGCGUGGAGGAUGAAGUCCUUCUGGACGUAAACUCCUUUUAGAGGGGACGAAAAGCCCGAUUUGUCGGGAAUUGACGGUACCCUCAGAAAAAGCACCGGCUAACUACGUGCCAGCAGCCGCGGUAAUACGUAGGGUGCAAGCGUUGUCCGGAUUCACUGGGUGUAAAGGGUGCGCAGGCGGGCUCUUAAGUCAAAGGUGAAAUCUCUCGGCUUAACCGAGAAAUUGCCUUUGAUACUGAGGGCCUUGAGUACGGGAGAGGGAGAUGGAAUUCCAGGUGUAGGGGUAAAAUGCGUAGAUAUCUGGAGGAACACCGGAGGCGAAGGCGGUCUCCGGGCUCAUAACUGACGCUGAGUCGCGAAAGCGGGGGGAUCAAACAGGAUUAGAUACCCUGGUAGU
rnacentral:rRNA from 1 species